AGGCAGUGAUGAGAUUCCACUUCAUGGUCCGUGUUUUUGAUGCCAUGUGAUAUUUGUGGAAGUUCUGAUGUC